GAUAACUUCUUUCGCCAACUCCUAUGAGAUUUAUUCAACUUCCUGGUGAUUCUCCACCACUUUAUGUAUCCAAAUAAAGCUUCUCACAAAGUGAUUCAUCCUGGUUUGAUUUGAACGACGAUGAAGCUGUGCUAUUCCCAAACUGGGAAACUGGAAUCACCUGAUUUGAAAGUGGGAUAACUUCUUCACGCCAACUCCUAUUGUGAGAAUCGACAGAUUAUGGUGUGUGAGUGUUGUUUAGAACAGAAAGUGGUCGGAUUGAAAGAGAACAGAGUGAAGACAGUAAGUGAGAAUUAAAGAGACUGCAAUGGAGAAUAAGAGAGAUUAAGUGAGAUUUGAGAGAGUAUGAGAGAGAUUCUUGUAACCAGAGAUUAGGAGAGUAUAAGAGACUUGAGAAUGGUGAAGAAGAAAGGGGAAACUCCCCCAUUCAGCUUAAUUUCGUAAUGGUUACAAUGGGGUGGCUUUAUAGCCAGAUUACAAGUUGCAAGUGAUUAAACAAUUGUUAAAGUACAGAUUUACUAAACUAAUAUUAUUGUAGGGUUUCUGAUGGAGCCAGGAGGAUGCAGCCAAGGAGAAUCUCGACCAGAGGGAGUAGAGAGUGACAGGAGAGAGAGAUGGGCACAGUCUGGUUGGGUGAAAGUGACAGCAGGGUUUCUGAUGGAGCCAGGAGGAUGCAGCCAAGGAGAAUCUCGACCAGAGGGAGUAGAGAGUGACAGGAGAGAGAGAUGGGCACAGUCUGGUUGGGUGAAAGUGACAGCAGGUUCAUCUCCUUAUGCACAUGUGACUUUUAUCUUAAUUAAUUCUCCAACUUGCCA